UACAGAGGGUGCGAGCGUUAAUCGGAAUUACUGGGCGUAAAGGGCGCGUAGGCGGCAAUUCAAGUCAUCUGUGAAAUCUCCGGGCUUAACUCGGAAUGGUCAGGUGAUACUGCUUUGCUAGAGUGCAGAAGGGGCAAUCGGAAUUCUUGGUGUAGCGGUGAAAUGCGUAGAUAUCAAGAGGAACACCUGAGGUGAAGACGGGUUGCUGGGCUGACACUGACGCUGAGGCGCGAAAGCUAGGGGAGCAAACGGG
rnacentral:rRNA from 1 species